UAACGAGUUCCGGGUCGUCUCCGGCCCGAUCUCCCAUCCCAUGUGUACCUUUCUCGCGUUGCUUUGGCGGGCCCGCUGAGGCGGGGUCCAUCCCCCCUCACCGCCGGCCUCCUGGGCUGACGAGCGCCCGCCAGAGAUACUCGAAACUCUGAUUUGAUCAGUGUCGUCUGAGUAACAUACAAUCGUUAAAACUUUCAACAACGGAUCUCUUGGUUCUGGCAUCGAUGAAGAACGCAGCGAAAUGCGAUACGUAAUGUGAAUUGCAGAAUUCAGUGAAUCAUCGAAUCUUUGAACGCACCUUGCGCCCCUUGGUAUUCCGAGGGGCAUGCCUGUUCGAGCGUCAUUACACCACUCAAGCUCAGCUUGGUGUUGGGCCAUCGCCCGCCUCGCUUCGGCGAUGGGCGUGCCUGAAAAUCAGUGGCGGUGCCAUCCAGCUUCAAGCGCAGUAAGAAUCACUUCCUCGCUUUGGAAGCCUGGGCGGUCGCUAGCCAGACAACCUUAUUAAACUCUUCUAAGGUUGACCUCGGAUCAGGUAGGGAUACCCGCUGAACUUAAGCAUAUCAAUAAGCGGAGGAAAAGAAACCAACAGGGAUUGCCUCAGUAACGGCGAGUGAAGCGGCAACAGCUCAAAUUUGAAAUCUGGCCUCUUCGGGGUCCGAGUUGUAAUUUGGAGAGGAUGCUUCGGGCGUGGCACCGGUCUAAGUUCCUUGGAACAGGACGUCACAGAGGGUGAGAAUCCCGUAUGUGAUCGGCCGCCUUCGUCCAUGUGAAGCUCCUUCGACGAGUCGAGUUGUUUGGGAAUGCAGCUCAAAAUGGGUGGUAAAUUUCAUCUAAAGCUAAAUAUUG
rnacentral:rRNA from 1 species